rnacentral:lncRNA from 1 species
UUCUGGGUUAUUCUUUGAGUUCUAUGCUUUAAUCUUGUUGUUAGAGUUCCAACCUUCUACUGUUUCUGCGAUUUUUUUGCUUAGAGUUCUCUGAUUUUCGUGCCUAUUGUGUUUAAUAUGUCUAAUUAUUCAUUGUUCACCAAAUAUUCUGCUGAUUUUGUGCAUCUCUUCGAAUCCCAGAUUUUUUAUAUGUUUUCCUUAGAAGUUUUUCACUGAUUUUGAAUCACUUCCUUAUUUGUGAGAUGCUUUCCUUACUCAGAACUAAUUCCUUAUGAUUUUAGUCUCAUAUGCGAUUCUUUGACUUAUUUUUAGAAUUAAGUUAUAUUUUUGCCAUAUUUAUGCGCAUAAACAUACUUUCAAAUAUUCAUUAUAUAUUUUCCUUAUUUGAAAUGUUAUGUAUUUGGUACUUAUUACAUGUUACGUGCUUUACUAAUCCGAUUAUGGUAGAUUUAGUAGUCUAAGUGAUUCAUUCCUUAUCUGAUAUAACUUGUGCCCAUUCGAAUCAUGGCUCCCCAGUUAAAAGAAGUUUGGUCCUGUGAUUGAUUCCAAUUGGUAUUGUUUCCAUAAUUGUGUUAAGUCAGUACUUGUUACCCUAUUCUCUAUUUGUUUUCAAAACUAUAAAUACUCUACCCUCUCUUUAGCAUAAAACACGAACAACACAUACAAGUAUACUCACUGUUCUCUCUUACUUUCAUGCACAUUCUCUCUUGCUUCUCUUAUUGACUACUGGUUACCAGUCGGCUGAAAGCCAAGACUGAAUAAUUUGUUACUCUACUGUUUUAUUUCUCUAUAAAUUGCUUCUCUCUUGGUCCGCACAGUGCUGCUCUAUUAUCUCACUCUUGACUGGUAUGUUUUCUAUUUGAUUUACAACUUCCAAAACAACAUAUUUUUAUGCAUAAUGCACUUUCUCUUAUUUCUUUUAUGCUUCUAUUUAUGUUUAUGCUGUUUACCUUGCAAUUAGCGUGCCUCUUUUCUAGUUCAUUGAUGUGAUUACCCUUCACUUAAUUCAGCAUGUCUACUGCUUCUCUUACUUGUUUAAUGCAGUUCUUCCUUACUCCCUAACCCCAAUACAUUAUCAGAAUUUGUUCAUGACCCUUUCUAGCUACCAAGUGUUCCUGAACCUCUUCCAUGAACAUUUUGGGAUGAAAUGUGUUGUGAUUGUUUAAGUCCUGAAAUGCCUUCUCUGAUGUCUAUGUAUGUGCAACUAUGCUCUUACAUGUGAACUACUUGUCCCUUUUCCCCUUUCCCAGUUUGUGUUUGCUUUCCUGAACUAUGUGUGAUAUUCUAGUUAUGAGAUUGUCCUACUCACCUUCUAACAAAACUGUCAUACUCUUCUACUAUUUUCUUUCAAGAACUGAUUCUAUAUGGAUCAUAUUCAAACUGUUUCUCUCAACUCAAUUUCUUUAAAACUAUAUCACGCACUCUCACUACUCUUAGAGAUUAGUUCUACCCCCUCAGUGUAAGCAUUGCUUUUGGUACCUCUGAGUACUCACAGAACUUUGAUGCACAAGGUUGUUAAUUCCAU